rnacentral:rRNA from 1 species
UACGUAGGGUGCGAGCGUUGUCCGGAAUUAUUGGGCGUAAAGAGCUCGUAGGCGGCUUGUCGCGUCGGAUGUGAAAGCCUGGGGCUUAACUCCGGGUCUGCAUUCGAUACGGGCAGGCUAGAGUGUGGUAGGGGAGAUCGGAAUUCCUGGUGUAGCGGUGAAAUGCGCAGAUAUCAGGAGGAACACCGGUGGCGAAGGCGGAUCUCUGGGCCAUUACUGACGCUGAGGAGCGAAAGCGUGGGGAGCGAACAGG